rnacentral:rRNA from 1 species
GCCCAGAUCGUUUACCGUGAAAAAAUUAGAGUGUUCAAAGCGGGCAGAUAUUUUUCCUGCCACCGAAUACAUUAGCAUGGGAUAAUGGAAUAGGACCCUGACCUCCUAUUUUCAGUUGGUUUUGUUUACAGCGAGGUUAUAUCAGGGUAAUGAUUAAUAGGGAUAGUUGGGGGCAUUAAUAUUUAAUUGUCAGAGGUGAAAUUCUUGGAUUUAUGAAAGAUUAACUUCUGCGAAAGCGUUUGCCAAGGAUGUUUUCAUUAAUCAAGAACGAAAGUUAGGGGAUCGAAGACGAUCAGAUACCGUCGUAGUCUUAACCAUAAACGAUGCCGACCAGCGAUUAGGAGACGUUGAAUACAAAACACCGCCGUUAAUCCUUUCGGGGGUUAAUGGUUGGUGAAUGACUCCCCUAGCAGCUUGUGA